GCCCCUAUCGUCUAGCGGUUAGGACGUCGGAUUCUCAUUCCGGAAACCGGGGUUCGAUUCCCCGUGGGGGUGCCA
rnacentral:tRNA from 1 species